rnacentral:rRNA from 1 species
GGAUGAACGCUGGCGGCGUGCCUAAUACAUGCAAGUCGAGCGAACAGACGAGGAGCUUGCUCCUCUGACGUUAGCGGCGGACGGGUGAGUAACACGUGGAUAACCUACCUAUAAGACUGGGAUAACUUCGGGAAACCGGAGCUAAUACCGGAUAAUAUAUUGAACCGCAUGGUUCAAUAGUGAAAGACGGUUUUGCUGUCACUUAUAGAUGGAUCCGCGCCGCAUUAGCUAGUUGGUAAGGUAACGGCUUACCAAGGCAACGAUGCGUAGCCACCUGAGAGGGUGAUCGGCCACACUGGAACUGAGACACGGUCCAGACUCCUACGGGAGGCAGCAGUAGGGAAUCUUCCGCAAUGGGCGAAAGCUUGACGGAGCAACGCCGCGUGAGUGAUGAAGGUCUUCGGAUCGUAAAACUCUGUUAUUAGGGAAGAACAAAUGUGUAAGUAACUAUGCACGUCUUGACGGUACCUAAUCAGAAAGCCACGGCUAACUACGUG